UGCUCUUCAGAUCUGCUGGAACAUUUUUGGACCACCCUGGACCACAAAACCAGUCAUAAGGGUCAUUUUUUUGGGUCAAAAUACUGAGAAAAUUGCC